GACGAACGCUGGCGGCGUGCCUAAUACAUGCAAGUUGAGCGCUGAAGGUUGGUACUUGUACCAACUGGAUGAGCAGCGAACGGGUGAGUAACGCGUGGGGAAUCUGCCUUUGAGCGGGGGACAACAUUUGGAAACGAAUGCUAAUACCGCAUAAAAACUUUAAACACAAGUUUUAAGUUUGAAAGAUGCAAUUGCAUCACUCAAAGAUGAUCCCGCGUUGUAUUAGCUAGUUGGUGAGGUAAAGGCUCACCAAGGCGAUGAUACAUAGCCGACCUGAGAGGGUGAUCGGCCACAUUGGGACUGAGACACGGCCCAAACUCCUGCGGGAGGCAGCAGUAGGGAAUCUUCGGCAAUGGACGAAAGUCUGACCGAGCAACGCCGCGUGAGUGAAGAAGGUUUUCGGAUCGUAAAACUCUGUUGAUAGAGAAGAACGUUGGUGAGAGUGGAAAGCUCAUCAAGUGACGGUAACUACCCAGAAAGGGACGGCUAACUACGUG
rnacentral:rRNA from 1 species